AUGUCAUCAUGCGCAUUUCAUUUGCAUACGUGUUCGUCUCAUGCAUCCGAGCAUUUUCCCCGUUGUCCGUUUUGCAAUCCGGCGUUCCGUUCUCCUCCGGUGGUCAUUUCUACCUUUCUUACAUGUGUGGGGAUCAAACAUUUCCGGACUAGACCGAGUCUUGCCAAGCGGCCUUGGGUUACUACUGGUAGACCGCCUGUCAAGUUUCGUACCAUUUGGACUUCGUUUGAUACUCCAACGGUUAACCGAGGGACCGAGAAGGCCUCGUGUGUGUUGCAGCCCAACACCUCUCCAAUUUGGCCCAAAACCCACCUAACUCUGCUCCAUCAUCUAGAGCGUUCGAUCACGAUCGCGUGGCCGAAAACCGCACCUCAUUUGGACUCUCCUAGCUCCCUCUACCUAUAA
rnacentral:rRNA from 1 species